UUUGAGGACUGGGAACUGGGAGCUUUUGUUUUACAAACUUGAAUACCACUUUUUUUUUUUUUUCCUUUUCCUUAUCCACCUUUGCCACCACCCCCCAUGACUUUAAAAUGCUUUUUUUUUUUUUUUUUUUUGGAGACAGAGUUGCUCUGUCGCACAGGCUGGAAUUGGGCCAUUGCACUCCAGCCUUGGUAACAAGAGCGAGACUCUGUCUCAAAAAAAAAAAAAAUUGAUGAACAGAGAUAAAUCCAGAAAUGUAUGCUGAUUAUUAGGACAGAAGCAAUACAGCAGC
rnacentral:sRNA from 1 species